CCUUCUCGCGGCCCUCCCUGCCACCACAGCCCUCCCCGCCGGCGGCCGCACAUCCACUGCACCGGAUCUGAAGCUUCUCCUCCCCCUCUUCCUCACCCCGGUCAGAUCUUCUUCGUCUCGUGCUCCUCCCCGCGCCGCCGGCCGCUGGUCCCCGACCUCAUCCCACCGUGGAUUUGACACCCCCGUGCUCUUCUUCUCUUCAGGCAGGACACAUAACUUAUGGAGGGAUGAUUGCGGUUAGGAGCGGACACAAUGGCUCGGGGUAAUUGGCAUCAGCACCGCCAGGAAUGACAUAUGGAAUGAUGGUAUGGCAUGUUACUGCCGUCGACCACUCAUUGAAAGUUGGACGUAAAUGGUCAGAUCUGCCAUAUGCAUGAAGUGGAUGCACCGGGACCUCAAACCAGAGAAUUUCUUGUUUGCAAACUGGAAAGAAACGGCUGCACUGAAAGCAAUUAAUUUUGGCCUGUUUGUUUUGUUUUUCACUCCAAGUAGAGUCAAUCCUAAUAUCCUAUAUGGCUAUCGUUGAAGCUUUCCAUUUUGACCCGUCUGUCACUUGUCGAUGAUAUGGUCAGAGGACAAAGCUGAGCUGAUACAGUAGCCUGUCUUAUGCUAUAUAUUUUUUUACUUUUUAAUGUUUGCCUAAUGUGCUAUUUGUUUGUGAGGUGUAGGUGAAUGGUUCACUGAGAUUGUUGGAAGUCCUUAUUACAUGGCUCGAGAAACUAUGGCCAAGAGGUUGAUGUUUGGAGUGUAGGAGUGAUUCUUUACAUUCUUCUUUGUGAUGUCCCUUUGUUCUGGGCAGAAACUGAACAAGGUGUUGCUCAAGCAAUUAUCCGGUCUCUCAUUGAUUUUAAAAGAGAUCCAUGGCCGAGGGUAUCAGAUAAUGUAAAAGACCUUGUCAGGGCCCAGAUCCAAGGAGGCGUUUGACAGCUCAACAGGUUCCUGAUUUGCUUAAGAUCACGUAAGCUUGGGUUGAUGGAGUGCU